CUCCAACUCCUUCUCCGCGUUCUUUGCAGCAUCGAUAUCUUCUUUAUCCUCUGCCUGUUCGAAGGCCCGAGGUGUUCCGACAACUUUGGUAUCAAGAACGCGGUCCAUAGCAGCACUCGCUUCAUCAUGCCCAUCCACAACAGCAUCAGUUAGCAUGCCCCGCACAUCCAACUUCUGAAAGUAGUCAGUCGUGAAUUCGCCUUCUUGAAUAAUAACAUCGUCGAGCAUCCGUUUCUGAUUGGCCUUGCGUAGAAUAUUGGAUUCGAUUGUGUAUUCAGAUAUAAAGCGAUAAAUGUGAACGUCACGAGUCUGACCAAUGCGAUGACACCUAUCUUGACAUUGUUUAUCCAUUGCCGGGUUCCAAUCCAGAUCAUAGAAUAUGACUGUAUCUGCACCUGUCAAAUUGAUUCCUAACCCACCUGACCUGCUAGAAAGAAUGAAAGCCAGAAUUCGCGUAUCAUUAUUGAAACGUUCGGUCAACAUCUGUCGCUGCUCCACUUUGGUAGCACCAUCGAGGCGAAGGUAUCGGUGGCCAUGUAUAUUGAGAAACUGUUCCAGGAUAUCAAGCAUUUUUGUCAUUUGCGUGAAAAUCAAAGCACGAUGGCCACCUGAUUGUAGCUUCCUCAGAAGCUUGUCAAGCUGCUGAAGUUUUCCGCAAUCAUACUGCAAGAGCCGUUUAUCUGGGAACGCGAUUGACAGGCGCAUCUGUGCCUCAUGAAACGGGUCAUAAUUCGGAACCCUUAGCGCUUUAUUGAAAUAUCGGGACUCCAUCGGUGUUAAGGCCGCGGCAGUGACAUCCGACGCAACCACCGCAGGAGUGACAAAUGCAAACUUUUGUAUAAUGUUCUCCAUCGCAAGAGACCUUUCAUUUAUUGAUAAGAUCAUUGACGCUAUGGCGGGAGAUUGGUGCGAAAACCAGUCAAUAAGUGAACGGCGUGGAGGUAAACGUUGGGAUUUUGAUUGGAUGCCAAUAUUUAAUGUAAUGAAGUCGAUUAGGCUCUCCCCAUACACAGGUCGUUGUCCGUGUCGCUUCGACUCAAAGUACAGGCACCGUUCUAGCUCUUGCAUCCUCCUUUUUCGAGAUGAGUUCUCCAUUGACGUUAGCACAGACCGGACUGAAGAUCCAUCAAAUUCCAUACGCCAGUUAGUGCGAUUAUAUUGGCGCUCACGUAGUGCUUUAAGAGGACCAAAGGCCAUGAUUCGUGAGGUCCUCUCUUAACAGGCGGCGUCGGACAAAUAACUCUUUGAUUUCAAAAUCCGCUAUCGCAGACCUCGUCAUCGAAAAUGAAGUCGUUAUCGGUCGCGUUUCGAAA
rnacentral:sRNA from 1 species